CCAUGCAUGUAUAAGUAUAAACGCUUUAAGCGUGAAACUGCGUACGGCUCAUUACAACAGCAAUAAUUUACUUGAUCUUGACAACCUACAUGGAUAACUGUGGUAAUUCUAGAGCUAAUACAUGCACCAAAGCUCCGACCCGCGAGGGGAGAGCGCAUUUAUUAGAACAAAACCAAGCGGCUUCGGCCGUCCAUUGUUGACUCAGAAUAACUAAGCUGAUCGUACGGUCUUGUACCGACGACGUGUCUUUCAAGUUUCUGCCUUAUCAACUUUCGAUGGUAGUGUAUCUGGCUACCAUGGUGGUGACGGGUAACGGAGGAUAAGGGUUCGACUCCGGAGAAGGGGCCUGAGAAAUGGCCACUACGUCUAAGGAUGGCAGCAGGCGCGCAAAUUACCCACUCUCAAUGCGAGGAGGUAGUGACGAGAAAUAACGAGGCCGUUCUCUUUGAGGCCGGUCAUCGGAAUGGGUACAAUUUAAACCCUUUAACGAGUAUCUAUGAGAGGGCAAGUCUGGUGCCAGCAGCCGCGGUAAUUCCAGCUCUCAAAAUGCAUAGAAUUAUUGCUGCGGUUAAAAAGCUCGUAGUUGGAUCUGUGCCUGUGCUCCGGUCCACCUCGCGGUGCGCACUGGGUGUCACAGGCUUUCCUGCAGUGUUCAGCCCCGGCGCCUUCACCGGCACCGGUGUGUUGAUGCUGCAAGUUUACUUUGAACAAAUCGGAGUGCUCCAAACAGGCGUUUGCUUGAACGUUCGUGCAUGGAAUAAUAGAAGAGGAUUUCGGCUCAAUUUUAUUGGUUUUAUUGGCCGAGAUAAUGGUUAACAGAGACAAACGGGGGCAUUUGUAUUGCCG
rnacentral:rRNA from 1 species